rnacentral:rRNA from 1 species
CCUACGGGAGGCAGCAGUGGGGAAUAUUGGACAAUGGGGGAACCCUGAUCCAGCCAUGCCGCGUGUGUGAAGAAGGCCCUCGGGUUGUAAAGCACUUUCAGUGAGGAAGAACGCCUGGUGGUUAAUACCCAUCAGGAAAGACAUCACUCACAGAAGAAGCACCGGCUAACUCCGUGCCAGCAGCCGCGGUAAUACGGAGGGUGCGAGCGUUAAUCGGAAUUACUGGGCGUAAAGCGCGCGUAGGUGGCUUGAUAAGCCGGUUGUGAAAGCCCCGGGCUCAACCUGGGAACGGCAUCCGGAACUGUCAAGCUAGAGUGCAGGAGAGGAAGGUAGAAUUCCCGGUGUAGCGGUGAAAUGCGUAGAGAUCGGGAGGAAUACCAGUGGCGAAGGCGGCCUUCUGGACUGACACUGACACUGAGGUGCGAAAGCGUGGGUAGCAAACAGGAUUAGAUACCCGAGUAGUC